rnacentral:rRNA from 1 species
UGGGGAAUCUUGGACAAUGGGGGAAACCCUGAUCCAGCCAUGCCGCGUGAGCGAUGACGGCCUUAGGGUUGUAAAGCUCUUUCACCGGUGACGAUAAUGACGGUAGCCGGAGAAGAAGCGCCGGCUAACUCCGUGCCAGCAGCCGCGGUAAGACGGAGGGCGCUAGCGUUGUUCGGAAUCACUGGGCGUAAAGGGCGCGUAGGCGGCUGUUUAAGUCGAGGGUGAAAGCCCGGGGCUCAACCCCGGAACGGCCUUCGAGACUGGGCAGCUCGAGACCGGAAGAGGAGGGUGGAAUACCCAGUGUAGAGGUGAAAUUCGUAGAUAUUGGGUGGAACACCAGUGGCGAAAGCGGCUCUCUGGUCCGGAUCUGACGCUGAGGCGCGAAAGCGUGGGGAGCAAACAGGAUUAGAUACCCCGGUAGUCC